AAAUACUAUGAUUCGUUUCUUUCAUCUCCUCCUCGCCCAACUACCCGUCUCUCCCCCUCCUCCUCUCCAACCUCCUCCUUCCCUUCUCUGCCCUCUCGUGGUUCUUCGAUUUGAUCGCGAUCUGUGCGGUCGAGAGAUCUUUGGCUUGGUAUGGUGCGUGAGAUGAAUGGAGGGGUGGGGGACGUCGGGGGAGAGGAUUGGACGGAGGAGGAGAGCGUCAAUGGCGGGAACGACGUUUGGAGCUCGUCCCGCCCCGCGGACCACCUUGUGGUGAUGGUUCAUGGCAUCCUCGGGAGCUGAUUCUUUUAUUUCAUCCUUUGGAUCUGCAAGACUGCAUGCACCGUUUCACAUUAUGCAAAGGUUUGAAAUUUUGGUUGCAGCACUGCUGACUGGAAGUUUGCAGCCCAGCAAUUUGUUGCAAUGCUUCCAGAUAAAGUGAUAGUUCAUUGCAGUGAAAGCAACAUGUAUAAGCUAACAUUAGAUGGUGUUGAUAUUAUGGGUGAACGAUUAGCAGAAGAGAUUAUUGAAGUGGUCAACAAAAGGCUGUAUCUUCGAAAAAUUUCAUUUAUUGCACACUCGGUUGGAGGAUUGGUUGCAAGAUAUGCAAUUGGGAGACUGUAUAGACCCCUCAUAAUGAAAUCCCUAGAAAAUCCUCUCUGUGAUGCCUGUGAUGAUAGUCACAGAGGUACUAUCUAUGGUCUGGAAGCAGUCAAUUUCAUCACAGUUGCUACACCCCAUCUUGGUUCUAGAGGAAACAAACAGGUCCCAUUUCUUUUCGGUGUCACUGCCAUUGAAAAAGUUGCUUCUCUUGUCAUUCACUGGAUAUUUAGAAGAACGGGCAAACAUCUUUUCCUAACAGACGAUGAUGAAGGAAAGCCUCCAUUAUUGCAACGAAUGGUGGAUGAUUGUGAUGACCUUCAGUUUAUGUCUUCCCUGCAAGCAUUCAAACGCCGAGUGGCCUAUUCCAAUGUUGGUUAUGAUCACAUAGUCGGCUGGAGGACGUCAUCUAUCAGGCGUAACUCUCAACUGCCUAAGUGGGAGGAUUCGCUGAGUGAGAAAUACCCACAUGUUGUAUAUGAAGAAUACUCAGCAGGAAGCAGAAAUGAUAAGUGCACAGAUGAUUCACUAAUUAAUGGUGACUGUGAUCUAUUAGAAGAAAAGCUAGUAACAGGCCUCGCACAUUUGUCUUGGGAAAAAGUCGAUGUCAGUUUUCACAACAGCAGCAUCCAUAGGUUUGCUGCACAUAGUGUCAUUCAGGUUAAGGAUCCAUUCAUGCAUAUAGAAGGUGCAGACGUUAUACAACAUAUGAUCGAUCACUUUCUUACUUGAGGAAACUAAAGAAAUUUUGGGUUGAAAUGAUGAUUGUGCUCCUGUAUGCAAGUUCUUCAUCGUAAGAGUACAUAGCUACUCAGAUGCCAGAUGGAAAAUAAGAUAUUCUGCUCGUCCACCAUUUUCGAUAUGGGAUGAUGUCAAGACAAAACCUUAAAAAUGAUACAUGAUGUCAUGGUAAGAAAAAAAAGAAUCAUCUGCAUCUUCUUAUAUUUAAGUAAAGAUGCAAGGUUGAGAGGUUUUAUAAGAGUUAUUUAAAAUUCACAUUAUAUAUUUUGUCGUGGUAAUAUUUUGUAAGGUUUCCUUUUAUAAAUGUUAUAUAGGCAUCAAAAUUUGCAUUA